AAAAGCUAAUAAGGGCACACGGAGGAUGCCUAGGCAGCAACAGCCGAUGAAGGACGUGAUAAGCUGCGAUAAGCCGGGAGAAGAUGCACAUAAUCAUUGAUCCCCGGAUUUCCGAAUGGGUAAACCUGCAUGCCUGGAGGGCAUGCGUGAAAACGGCAAGCCUGCGAACUGAAACAUCUAAGUAGCAGGAGGAAAAGAAAGUAAAAACGAUUCCCCAAGUAGCGGCGAGCGAACAGGGAAAAGCCUAAACCGUGCCAGUGUCAAGCGGACAGCGUUGCUGGCACGGGGUUGCGGGACUUCCAUUAACGGAUUGUCAUAAUGUUUAAUCUGUAUAUGUGUAAGUAGAAUCAGUUGGGAAGCUGAACCAGAGAAGGUGAAAGUCCUGUAGAACAUAAAGCAUAUGUGGAGACUGGAAGCACCCGAGUAGCGUCAGGCACGAGGAAUCUGGCGUGAAUCAGCGUGGACCAAAUCACGUAAGGCUAAAUACUGUUGUUGACCGAUAGUGAAGAGUACCGUGAGGGAAAGGUGAAAAGAACCCUGAGCAAGGGAGUGAAACAGAAUUUGAAACCGUGUGCUUACAAACGGUAGGAGCACUUUAUGUGUGACUGCGUGGAUUUUGGUUAAUCAUCCUGCGAGUUAUGGCUGGUGGCAAGGUUAAUAGACGGAGCCGAAGGGAAACCAAGUCUUAAUAGGGCGUCAAGUCGCCAGUCAUAGACGCGAAACCUAGUGAUCUAGGCCUGUCCAGGCUGAAGCUGAGGUAAGACUCAGUGGAGGGCCGAACUCACCGCCGUUGAAAAGUUGGGAGAUGAGAUAGGUCUAGGGGUGAAAAGCCAAUCGAACUAGGAGAUAGCUCGUUCUCUCCGAAAUGCAUUUAGGUGCAGCCUUGAACUGAGAUAUGUGGGGGUAGAGCUCUGUAUGAUCUAGGGGGCGUACUGCUUACCGAAAUCAAGCAAACUGCGAAUACCAUAUAUCAUGUUCAGGAGUGAGUCCGUGGAUGACAAGGUCCUCGGACGAGAGGGGAACAGCCCAGACCGCCAGCUAAGGUCCCUAAUUAUGUCUAAGUGGGAAAGGAGGUGGACAUUCAUAGACAACCAGGAGGUUGGCUUAGAAGCAGCCAUGCCUUGAAAGAGUGCGUAAUAGCUCACUGGUCGAGAGUGCCCGCGCCGAAGAUGUAACGGGGCUAAGACAUAAACCGAAGCUGCGGAAGAUACACUGUAUCUUGGUAGGAGAGCGUUCUGUAGGCCGUCGAAGGGAUGCCGCAAGGCCGUCCUGGAGGUAUCAGAAGCGAGAAUGCAGGAAUGAGUAGCGAGAAGGCGGGCGAGAAUCCCGCCGGCCGGAAGUCCAAGGUUUCCAGGGGAAGGCUUGUCCGCCCUGGGGAAGUCGGGACCUAAGCAUAAGCAAAAUUGUGAUGGCGAAUGGAAAACAGGUUAAUAUUCCUGUACCGCUGUUAUCGCUUGAGAGACGGAGUGACGCAGGAAGGUAUGCGAGAAGGCUGACGGUUUAGCCUUUCUAAGGGCCCAGCGUGGGCGUGCAGGUAAAUCCGCACGCCUAAACGUGAGACCUGACGGGGAAGUGCAUUUGCAUAAGUCGCAGAUCCUACACUGCCAAGAAAAACUUCUAUCGAUGAGAAGCAGCGCCCGUACUGUAAACCGACACAGGUGGACAGAGUGAGAAACUUAAGGCCGACAGGAUAACUCUAGCUAAGGAACUCUGCAAAAUAGCCCCGUAACUUCGGGAGAAGGGGUGCCUGACAUACCUGAAGGAGAGAAGCGCUCCCAGGGGAAACAGGCCGCAGUGAAGAGUCUCAAGCAACUGUUUACCAAAAACACAGGUCUAUGCUAAGCUGAAAGGCGACGUAUAUGGGCUGACACCUGCCCAGUGCCGGAAGGUUAAGAGGAGGAGUGAGAGCUCCGAUUUGAAGCCCCGGUGAACGGCGGCCGUAACUAUAACGGUCCUAAGGUAGCGAAAUUCCUUGUCGGGUAA
rnacentral:rRNA from 1 species